rnacentral:lncRNA from 1 species
UUGUUUUUUAUGUUUUGCCUUAUCUAAUUCCACCGAGUCACUCUGAACUUCUGUGCUCCAGGUGCCCCAAAGCACCGUUUCCCAAUUCCGUCUGGGUUUACAUGAGCUCGGGCUUUGGCUGUGAAUGGAUGGUAAAAGGCUGGAGGGAAGACCUGUCAGCUGAGAGGGAAAACAGCAAGAGCUGCGUGGCGGUGGCCGAAGAGUAGGAAUCUCCCGAAAUCAUCCAUACAGGCAGGUGCGGAAUCACGUUGCCCUCCAGUGGCUGCAGCUCAUGGCGACAGCAGGAGGAAUUCUGGGGUCCCUGGCUGUCCCCUAAAGUCCGAUGUUUGUUUGAAGGUGAGGAUUUAGACUUCCAGAGGGAGAGCGGGGUGCUGUUGGUGUGCAUGUGGACUCUAAACCUGGGGCCCAACAGGCACCUGUCCUUCCCAUGUUUCCCCCCAACCCCCACCCCAAUUACAUCUGACCCUUCUUUCCACCGAAGAUUCCUCUUCCCCCCCACCGGGCUUCUUCCUUUGUAACUAAACUUCUUCCCACCCCUCACUCCCGAGCCCGGCCCACCCUUGGGAGCCUGAGAACCUCCGCAGUUCUCCCCUCAGCACCUGGACAGCAGCCCAGGAGAAGGCCUCAGCUCUGCUGAGCUGUAGCUCCGCAUCAUCUCCCCCGGCAGCAAUUCCCCGCCUAACCGCUUGGUUCUGGAAAUGGGCCUCAGUGCUGCUCAUCAACCUCCCCAUCCCACUUCAUCAGGCUACCUACUACCCUAAUAUGUUACCUAUGGGAAGGGAAUCUUGCUCAAAACUUGGGACAUCUUCAUUCCUUGACUAUCAAAUUCUCCCCUUCGUGCAUUUUUAAUGGAAAUUUUAAAUGAAAAUCUGGCUUCUCUCCCUCUCUCCUCCUCACCCCACCCCCCAUGAGAAAGAAAAGCAAAACCUCUAUUUAAAAAAAGUAUAGUCAAGCAAAACAAAUUCCUGCAUUGGCCAUGUUUUUUAAAAAAUGACUCAAAUUGCACUCAGUCCAAAGAGAUGAUGACAUCUCUCAGACAAGAGGUGAAUCUGGAAUUAUGACUGGUCUUUGCAUGCAUCAGCAUUCUCAAGUCUUUGAAAGACUUUGAAAGACAAAGUUGUUUGUCUUUAUAUUGUUGUUGCCGGAUAAAUGAUCCUCCUGGUUCUGCUCACUUCAUUCUGUAUCAGUUCAUGUAAGUUUCCCCAGGUUUUUCUGAAGCUUUCUCCAUCAUUUCUUAUAGGAUAGUAGUAUUUCAUUACAUUCAUAUACCAUAACUUGUUUGGUCAUUUCGAUCAAUACAUCAAUCAGCAAGCAUUAAUAAAUGCCUUCUCUGUGCCA